rnacentral:rRNA from 1 species
UACAGAGGGUGCGAGCGUUGUCCGGAAUUACUGGGCGUAAAGCGUGCGCAGGCGGCUUCUCAAGUCAGGGGUGAAAGCCCAGAGCUCAACUCUGGAAUUGCCUUUGAGACUGAGUGGCUUGAGUACGAGAGAGGUGAGUGGAAUUCCCAGUGUAGAGGUGAAAUUCGUAGAUAUUGGGAAGAACACCGGUGGCGAAGGCGGCUCACUGGCUCGUAACUGACGCUCAUGCACGACAGCGUGGGGAUCAAACAGG